CCUUCCUUCCUUCCUUCCAUCUUUCCUUCCUCUCUCCAAAUACACAUGGAAUCUUUAAUCUGGACUAAAAUUCAACUAAGACAUUGGGAAUUCAAGACCAAAUUAUACAUAAAUUCAUAGUACUCAUAGAAUUGAAAUAUUUUAGAUAUUUUAUUUUAGGUAUAUGAAUAUUUUGCUAACAUGUAUGCAUUUAUUCUGUGUGUGUGUGUGUGUGUGUGUGUGUGUGUCUCCAGAAGUUGAGUUGAGGAGUUGAUCCUCUGGAGAGAUGACUCACUGGUUAAGUGCAUGUGUUGCUCUUGCAGAGGAGCCAGGUCAGUUCUUAGCACCAUAUAGUGGCUCACAAACAUCAGUUAUUCAAGUUCUAGCAGAUUCCACACAUUUUUCUAAGCUCCUGGGGUGCUCAUAGAAUUUAAAUCUCAACAAGAAAGAGAAAUUAAAAACAGAGUGAAAAAAGUAAAUGCAAUAGAAAAAUAGUGUUGUCACAAAAGAUUGAAGAGGUAUUAAACAGGUCAUUUAAGAAUAGGAGAAGGAUCAAAUAGUACUGUUCUAAAGAAAAAGACUAGCAACAAAAUGACUCGUAACGACAUUCUGCUAUAUUCAUAGGUCAGUGCUGUGCUCAGCCAUCAGCAAAGAAGCUUCCCCCUGCAGCAGAUGGGAACGAAUACAGAAACCCUCAUCCAGACAUUACCCACAAAGGGAAACUCUGGAACUCACAGCUGUAAAGGGGAUGUCUCCAUCAAAUCCCUCCCCUCGGUGUCCAGGGAACCCUGAAGGAGAGGAGAUAGAAGGAGUAACAGAGCUAGAGGGGAAGGACACCAUGAACACAAGGCCAGCUAAAUCAACAUGAGCAAAGCUGCUAUGAACUCACAGAGACUGAGGCAGCAUGCACAGGACCUGUAGGUCUGCACCAGGUCUUUGUGCAUAUGUUAUGGCUUCUAGUUUAGUGUUUUUAUGGCCACCCUGAGUGUGUGAAUGAGUGGGCCUCUGACUGUGUGCUCUCUUGUGCUCUUUCCCUUCUGUUUGUUUGUUUUGUGCCAUGUCAACUUAUUAUUAUUAAUUAUAUUUUAUUCUACUGUAAUCCCCUAGAAGCCUGUUUUUUUUUCAAUGAGAGGCAUAAAGGGAGUGGAUCCAGAUGGGAAGAAGGUGGAAAGGAACUGAGAGAAGUAGAGGGAGCAGAAAACGUAAUCAGGAGAUAUUAUGUAAGAAAAAAGCAAUCAUUUUCAAUACAAGGGGGAGGGGAAGGACAGGAGGUGGAGUUAGAAUCCAGGACUGAGCUCGGGGCAAAGAAAGGAAGUGGGUGUGGCUGGAUGGAGUGGGUGGAGCCUGGGAAGGGUGAUCGAGGAAAGAGGAGGAAAAGACAAAGCUUGAUUGGCUGAGCUUUGGAAACCAUUUUCAGGAAUUUUCAAAAGGAGGCAUGAGAGAUAAUAGAAAGAUUUUUGUUUGUUUGUUUCAAUCCUGUCAUUUUUUUUUCUUUACUUGUGGUGGAUAAAUCAAUUCAACUUUCUGGCUAGGGUUGUAGCAAGAAGUGUUUUUGCACACAAGAGAAUCCAGCCUGAGUCAUUCCUUUAAGGCAGUGAUUGUGAAGGCUGGUCUUUCUCUUUGAUUUCACUGACCAUUAGUGUAAUAGGAAAUUACUCAUAAGGAAUCACUGAAUGCAUUUGCCCACUGACACCCGUUUAGAAAAAAGUAAUUUUAGAAAUUAAUGAGGAUUUUUUUGGGGGUGGGUGGGAGAGCUUGUAACCUGGAAGUUUUCCUUUUUGUUCCUAUUUAAAAUUACAUCAAAUCUUCCUAUUAGAGUGUUUUUUAAUAUGUAUCCUGCAUUAUUCUAUAUAAAGUAUAUUUAAAAAAAAUCUAGUUCUGGAAAUCGUUGAGAAGACUUUAAGCAGAAUCUAGAAGCAGUUUAAAAGUGGAGGUACAUUUUAGGGUGUGAUGAUGCUGGAGACUGGAUAUGGUUUGGGAUUUUAAUGCUCUGGGCUGGACAUACUAGUGCUAUGGAUCAGAUAACCAUACAUGUAUGUGCACAUGGUAUACAGAAGGGCUGCUCUGCUCUAUAGAUGGUGGAUGCUGACAGGUUGAUAGCAUCCACAAAUUAGCUUCUGGGAAUGAGGCUUUCUAGAACAUAACCUCAUUGGAGAAGGGGAGUCCCAGCCCUGCUUAGAAUCAAGAUUCAGUAUUUCAUGAAUUAAGUAGUACCAAUUAACCAGCCAGCUAGCUUUUUCCCUCAGGAGUUUAUAAUUAUUCCUAGCAAGUUUCAGCCUUAAAAGUUAUUAUGGCAUAGUGGAAACAUACAGAAUUCUAAAAUGACCACAGGAAAUAUCCGAGUUCUCAUUUAGUUUUGAAAAUCUAUUAACUGGACUCAAACAAAGUGGAAGUUUGCAUCCAAGCAAUUAUUGGUGCUUCCAAAGGAUGGACAUUAUAAGCAGCACAUUUGUUUUGCAGGAAGAUAGUUAGCCUGUUUUAUUCCUCACUCUGUCCCAUGUUUGUCGCCUUCCUUUUAAUGUUAUAUGGUGUCAAAACCUCAUUUGCUUAUACCUCCUGUUUAUGGUGUGGCUGAACCAAAAGAGACUAAGAGUUUGGAAAGAGGUCAUCAAUAAAAGAUUGUUAUCAUUGUUGUUCUGUGAAAAUGUUGUGUAACCCUUUUUGCUUUUCGACUGGGAAGCUCAAAAGAGAUAAUCAUUUGGAUUUCUGAAGUAAUCAUCUUCAUGCAUACUCACACAUAUGGAGGCUAGUCCUUUUUUCUAUUGCAUCUAUAUUUCUUUUUUCAUAGUACAUCUUAUGGUAAUCCUUUUAAAAUAUUUUGUUCCUAUGUGCUCUUUUAAUUUCUGCUUUGUAUGUCUAGGGGCUAAGUCUAGGGCUUCAGGCAUGCUAGGCCAGUGCCACAGCACUGAGAAACAGCCCUGGCACUCUUGCACUUUUUAUUUUGACAGGGGGUCUCACUAUGUUUUCCAGAUUGUCUGUGAGCUCAUUCCAUAGCCCAGGCAGGCUUUGCCUGCCUUUUCCAUCAGUGUCCCGAGUGUCUGGGAUCAUAAACCUGCAUCAUUAUCCCAGCCUUCUGUAGGCGUCUACUUAGAUAACUGGAUAAAUAGUUCCCCUGUGUGAUAUAAAUAUAAACAUGAUUUCAGCCUCUAGAAUUGAGAUAGAUGAAACUUCCGUCAGACCAGUGUUAGGGGUGGUAUAAUUCCAACACCUUCUAUAUCACUACUGAUUGAAUUUGACAGCAUGCAACCCCGUGUCUCACUCUUUGUUAUAGAUAAGAUCAUAUUGUGUUUUGUCGCCAUUACCCAGGCUCUCAAGCCCAGGCACUUUUCAUGUUGUAUGGGAGUAGACCAUACACAAGAGGUAUGGAGGUGCGUGGCACACAGUGAGUGCUUAACACUCAGUGGCUUCAGUUUUCAGGAGACAGUACCCUCAGUGCCCCUCACAUGCUAUGUUUUAUUUGAAGGAAGCAUGAGACAAUGAUGUUUCUUUUGCUAGUAGCACUGAGGGAAAAAAAUUAAAGUUCUUUGAAUCUGAAUACAACCAUAUUUCACAAACUAAAGAGUUAUUUAUUAAAGAGAACCUAGGAAGUAAUUAACUAUAAACUCCAUCUCCCUGGAUAGUGUGGGUGUAAUUCAAAACUGACAUGAUUACUCAUGUUCAUGUAUGUAUUUAUUAUAUGAACUUUAGUGAACAAAGUUUUUUUUUUAAUCUACUAAAUUAUCUGUGGUGUUCUCAGAUAACAUAGGAAGCUGUGUGACCUAAGGAAGGUUCUAUGAACUGUGAAUAUUGAAUAUGAAAUAUUAUUUGUUGAAAUGAAAAGACUGUUCCAUUUAAACUUGCAUUGGCAAUCAAAAUGAUUGUGAUCUAUUGAGCAUGAGCCACGAGACACAGACAUCGCUUUGCUUUCAUUAAUCAUUAUGCAUUUCUGUCCGUGCAGAUUCAGUUAUGAGCUCAUGUGUCUGAAUCCUCUCCAGCUUGCUCUCUGCAGAAAGACACGAUUGGACCAUCACUGGGAUCCCAUGGAUGACGCCAACCCUUUCUCACUGAUUCCUGACUGCAGACACGUUUACUUAUAAAGGCCAGUGAACAGGGAUGGCCACCACAUGUGAGAUGAGGAAGUCACACCAUUCCUUGGAAAGCUCAACUCAAAAGCUAAAACAGCAUCAAAAUUCAAGUUCAGAGCUACCAAGAUACAGGGAUGUGAAGACAUCGCCACAUGAGCACUGAGUGUCUCAUUGAUUUUUCUUAAUCUGUCUCAGAGAUGGAGAGAUAGUUGGGUAGCUAAGAGCUCAAGCGGUUCUUGCUGAGAACCCAAGUUCUAACCUCAGCACCCACAUCAGCACCCAUGUCAGGCAGCUCACAAGCACCUGUAACUCCAGAUCUUGUGGGGCCUAUUUCUAGUUUCUACAGAUGUCUAAGCUUGGGUAUACCUUAUCUCCAUCCAACUAUGUGUAAUUUUGAAAUACAUCUUUUUAAAAAUUAGCUGACUGGAGAUCUGUAAAGUUAUUGGAUAAUUUAUCUCUGUGAGAUGAUUUUGCACUAACUGGCUAGUUAUUGAUGCUGAUUUUUGUUUUUUACCUUUUAUGUUGAAUAUUUGUAAAAAUUUGCAAGCAGAAUCCAUCUUCCUCCCUCUAGGGCAGAAAGUACACCUGUCAUUUAGGAAGCAAAACUGUCUCCACAUUAGUCCAUAUGUCUGGAGCAGGGUUGAGUCCAUCUCGUCAGGGCCCCUGGGAUAUACUCAAAGCUCUGGCACAUUGCUUCAACCUUGGCUGAUGUGUUUCACACAGGUGUGCAUAUGGGCUGUUCUGAGCCCAUGAUAGCUGCCUUGGAAGGGAAGCUUCUUCUCUUUCUGCUAGCACAUCAGUUCCUUUUCUCAUCACUGUGAGACAUAAGGCAAACAUAAGGCAAAAAAGCAAGUUAAAGAAGGAAGGUCCAUUUUGGCUCAGGCUUGAGGGUACAGCACAUCCACCAGGGUUGGGGAAGCAUGGGGGCAGGAGCUGAGGCAGCUCUCACACCGCAUCCCCAGUCAGGAAGCAGAGAGGGAUGAGUGCCCAUGCUCAGCUCUGCUUUUCAUUUUGUGCAGUCAAGACCCCCAGGCCAUGGAUGGUGCUUCCCGAAUUCAGAGUGGGUCCUUUCGCCUCACUUAACCUAAUUGACAGAAUCCUAUAGAGCCUGCCUUGAGGCUUGAGGCUAGAGGCUUUGGUGGUAUUGGAUCAUGUCAAGUUGACAAUCAAUGUUAACCACUGCACUGAAGGACCCUGAAUGGACAGAACCUUCCAGAAAGGGGAACCAACAUAGUGGGUAGUGGCAAAGAACAGUGUGAAGGGAAAGACUCAACCAAAAAGGUACAGAUUUUUAAUUUCUGGACCCUGUCAUACUGACUCCUGCCUGUCCCUAACCCUUCCAGACAUGUUAGCUAUCCCCUCUCUCCUUGUGUUUGUCUGUUUGAGUUGACAUUCUGCCUCCUGCUUCUAGCAAUACUCCAAGUAAUACCAUAAGGAAAGACAUUCUCAUCCCAUGUAGAUGAUUCCCUUCCUCAGAGAGAUGUGUUUCUGUCAGUGAUUCUGAAUACCAGUCAUACCAGUAUGGAAGCUUCUCACUCCUGGAAACAUUUUACACCUGUGGGGAGACACGUGUCUCUAAGUUGAAAGUGUUAUGCCAUGCAUUCUUUGCUUGUGGAGUAGGUGCCAGAGCUCUUCCUCUGACCUCAUAAACAGCUUUGUCUGGGGGUUUGUUCACGUAGCUUGAGUUUCCUGAUCCUUGGCAUGUUUGUUUCUAAAACUCAGUUUACAGCUUCUUAUAUAGCAAGCUGACCAUUGGGGAGGCUUAGAUCAUAUGAAACAAAGGAUAACUAGGAUGUUCUAAUCACACUCUGUUGCUGAGACAAAUAACAUGACCAAAAGCAACCUAUAGGAGGAGCAUUUAUCUGGCAUAUACUUUCAGGUUACCAUUCAUCAUAAGGGAAGUCAGGACAGAAAUUAAACAGAAAUCACAAAAGACGCUGCCUAUUGGCUCCCUCCAGGGCUCACCCAGCUAGGUUUCUUAUAUGGUCAAGUACAACCUCAGGGAAUGGCUCCAUCCACAUUAAUUCAAAAGCAACAAAUAUCUCCACAGGCCAAUUUGAUCAGGGAAGUCCCACAAUUGGUACUCCCUUCUCAGAUGACUCUAAGCUGUGACAAUUUUACAGUUGAAGCUGAUUAGAGCAAUGGUUAUAUACCAAGCUACAGAACCCUAUGGGAAUACUCAUUGUUUAGAACAGGGUUCAUCCUGCUAUCAGCCUAUUGGGUAGAUCCGAGUAGUCACCUGGUUUUAACCUAUUGUGCUUGACUGGAAUAAUUUAAUAUCCAAUUAUUUAAAUAUUGAUCUUAGAUGCUUAUGUGUAAAUUUAAGACUUUCCCCAGAAACUAUGGCUUGGAAAAACUAAAUACUACAGUAGAAGUGUUCUGACCUUCAGUCUGGAAGAAGAAUAUGGUGUUCAGUGAGGGGAAAGCUCUCAACCCUAGUCAGCCUCCAGAGAGAUUAACUACCAUUAACUCUGUUCAUCUCCAACCCCCUCCACCAGAUUGUAAUACCAUCCAUACCCACACCAAAGAACUGAGUAGCAGGGAAAAAUGGAAAUAGAGGGUGAUUUUUAAAAAUUCCUAUAAGUAUGUAUUGUACACAGCUGUUGAAGUAAAAUUUGGCUGUAAUUCUGUUGGAACAAAAGCAUUGUGGACAUGAAGAUGGGUGCUUUAAAAAUCUAUGUAGAGAUGUCUCAAAACAGAAUUAUCUCAAGAAUAGCUUCUGCCUUGCCAGCUUGUGUUCCUCACACCAGAUGCUUCUGAGUGGUUGAAGGAGCUACAUCUGUUGCUUGGAAGCUUGUCUUCUGGGCUUUGUGGAGAGAGGGAUGGAAUGCUGUCCUUUGUCCUUUAGAAUGAGUCACUUACACUUGCAGAUAUGAAAAGUUCUACCGUGGGUCAGCUAUGAAGCCAGCAGUGUGCCUGCUGUUCGAAUUAAGCUCUCUCUCUCUCUCUCUCUCUCUCUCUCUCUCUCUCUCUCUCUCUCUCUCUCUCUCUCUCUCUGUGUGUGUGUAUGUGCACAUGUGUGUAGAGGCCAGAGGUCAACACUGGGUAUUGCUCUUCAGUAACUGUCUACCUCGUUUAUGAAAUAAGGUCUUUUGUUGAGACCUGAGAUGUGACAACUAGGCUUGUAAGGUGUCUGCCAAGUCCCAGGGAUGCUUCUAUCUGCACUUUUCAGUAUGGGGAUUACCAGUGCGUGCCACCACUUUUUCUGUGAAUGUUGGAACGUGAACUCAGGCCUUCCUGAUUGUAUAACAGGCAUUUUACUAACAAAUCUACCUCUCUGACCCAAGUGAAGGCUUUUGAUGAGACAGUAUAAAGAUGUAGGACCCCUGACCCCAUAGAUCUUAUCCUAUCGGGAAAGUACUCUUUUCCCUUGUUCCUACUCUGUCCCAGUGGGCGCUUUCAGAGCACCUGCUCACUCACAGUUAACAGUAAAGAACACAUUUCCGGUUAAGGAGAUGCACUUCAAUCCCUAAUUAGUAAUCUGUAGCAGAGCCCUUCUGUGACCUUCUGGCCAGGCAUUACACUCCGCACUAUAGAUCCUGCCAUUCUUACUUGUCCCCCAACAGUCCUUUAGGUAGUAGAGGGCUCCCCUGGGUAGUUCCAGGCUGAAAAGUCUUCAAGUCCUCUGGAUAUAUGUUUCAGGGUUUCCAUUAAAUCAGUAUCCCAUUAAAUAUUAACCUGUGGUAUUUGCAUUCUAAACUAUGCUAAGUAUAUGUAAAAGUUGACAUUUGUAGCAGAAGACCUGUGGGGCUGAAAGUAAUUUGUUUUCUCCUAAACAUUAUAAGAACAAUGGAUACUAAUUGGUUAUUGAGAUAAGUUCUAAUUCUAAGAAACCCAUCGUGUUAUACAUAUUAACCCUGAAAAUCAGGGCCAGUUUCUAGCGUAAAAAUGAAAUUGAGGGACAAAAGAAGCUAUAGAUUCUAGAACUUUCUAAUUAAUGAAAUGUCAUAUAGGAUAUCUUUUGGCUGCCUUUAGGGCUAACCUGAAAGUGUUUUGCAUUGCUUUGUCACUGACCCCUAUGGUAGCACACAAACUCAUUCUCCGUAAGGUCAUGCUGCAAGAAUCAAGCACACACAUUCUCAGUACACCAAGGAGCUCCUGCAAUCUCUCUAAUCUCAGCCUUUGCUUUAUUUAAAAUAAUUUAUUGAUUUUUAAAAUAGCACAGAUCUUUAGAAACUCUCUGUCCAGAGACAGAUCAAACAGCUCCUUUGUUCUCACUCUGUCUGCCAGGAGUUCUGUGGCUGCUCAAAUUUUGUUCAGUCAGAUCAGAGUGGAAUCACUGGUCUCAACCGUGUUUUAAAAUCACCCAUGCUGAAUGUUAUGAAUUUCUAAUGCAGCUAACUUCAUCUUCUAGAUGGUGACUAAGAGUGAUUCAUUGGCCACCUCUUAGUUGUCAUCCUUCCCGAUUGAAAGAACCUUGAACAUGAGCACAGCUCCUUUCGACAACAAGAGCCAUUGAGAGUGACAUAUCAGGUUCCUAACAGACUAUCAUACCACUUAGAUGUUUGAGGCCACAUGUACUUUUUCACCCUUAAGCUUAGUUGGGCAGGGCCAAUUAGAGAUGCUGUUGGGGUCAGUUGGACAACACCAAUUGGAGAUGCUCUUGGGGUCAGAAGAUAGAUGUUUACUCACCAGAGAAGGGAAAUUGACAACAGACCAAAGCAAUGAUUCUACCUUAACAAGCCCAACCUAGUGGACCAGUGAGACUACUUAUAGUGCUACUUAUUGAGACUACUUACAGUGCUACUUAGGAGCAUGGGUGAUUCAAAUGAAGUUACAUCGUUAAAACGUCAACCCUACAUGGACCAUCUGACAGAGCAGAAAAUGUUACCUGCUAAACUAUCUCUCCAGCCCAGAAGUUUCUAUCUUGACUGAUAUGAUUCAAUGAUCUAUCUACUUAGAUGAGAAAAUAAAAAUUUCCUUCUGUAAUUGUAAUUUGCUUAUUUGCUUUAGGGUUCAGUUAAUUUUUUUAUUUUUUUAAGAUAGGAUCUCAUGUGCACUAAGCUGGUCUUGAACUCUCUAUGUAGCCAUAAAGGUGACCUAAACUUCUGAUCUUUUUAUUAAAAAAAAAAAUCACACCUGAAUUUUUAUGGUGCUGAGAAUAGAACCCAGGGCUUUGUGCAUGCUCGGCAAACCUAGCCACCAGGGUGCAACCUGCAAGAGACUUAGUCAUUUAGCUUGAUGAAUACUACAAUCCUAUUACUGGUUAUUUUGGUUUGAAAGAUAAAUGUUCCCAAUAGGCUCCUGUAUUUGAACACUUCAAGGAGGUUUUGACACCUUCAGCAGGUGCAGCCACACUGUUGAAAAUCUAACACUAGAGUUAGGUUUUGGGAUUUUGCUCAAUUUCUUGUACUUUCUCUACUUCCUGUACAUCAUUCAAGAGGUCCAGAAAGAAAUGGUGGGGAAGACAGGAGCAGGAAUGUCCACCAUUUUGGACAUCUAGCCCUCUUAAAUGAUAAAACAAAAUAAGUAUUCCUUAAGGUGUUUGUUGGUUGUUGUUUUUUGUUUCUGUUUUUGUUUUGGUUUUGGUAUUGCUGUUCAUGGUAUUUUUAUCACAUUAACAGGAAACUAAUACACUAGUAAAUAGGCUUUCAGGAUUUUGGUAUAUAUUUGAAAAAACAUAAAAUGACAUUCCUUUUACUCUCACAAGUGUUUUAUAUUUAGAAACCGCUCAUUUAAAAAUUCUAUUAUUUUUGAGCAUUUCAUACAAUGUGUUUGAUGAUAUUUAACCCUCUCCAUCAACUCUUCUUCCCAGACUUACUCCCUUUUCCUUCCACUAAACUUUGUGUCCUUUUGAGUUUUAAAAAUAGUCCUUCAAGAUCAAUUUGUGUUACCCAAACAUGCUAGGAUGUACAGUGUUCUACUGGAGUAUAGUCAACUUAGCUAGGGCCUCCACAUUUUAGUAGCUAACAAUUGUCAGUAUGUCCACAGGUUGGAGAUUGAUGUGGGGUUAUGUGAUCAAUUCCUUUACCUAUCUUGAGAUGCUGUCUGGUUUGGGCUUUUUCAGGUUUUCUGUGUGCUUUUGCAACUUCUAUAAGGUCGUAUGUGAAGCUAGCCUAUUGUGUCCAGAAGAUAAUGUUCCCUUGAAUUCAUCCACUGCCUUUGUAUCUUACAAUCUGUCUUCCCACUAGUCUUCAAUGAUUAUCAUGUAGCAUUAUAGUGAGACCCUAUUGCUGAUAUAAUAUUGCUGAAAAUAUUAUACUUACAUCAUAAAACUUGAAAAAAAAAUCAAUAUGGUACUGACCUGGAAGCUUCAUCUUUACUGGAUAGUUUUCAGUAAACAGAACACUCUGAAGUCUCUUGUUCUCUGCACUUUGACUCUAGUUCUAAGUCCCUGUGUUGUCAUCUGCUAAAAAUAGAAGCUUCUCAAAUGAGGUUUGAUAGAUGCACUAAUCUAUAAGUAUGAUGUUAAGUCAUUAGGGGGUCUGUUUAGUACUAGAUAUGUGUAGCACCACAACAGUAAUAGGUUCUACUCUAGGGGCAAAUCUGUCUAUCCAUAUGUUCUUGACCCAAUGAUGGUACCAGCUAUGGGUUUCAUCUUGUGAAAUGGGCUUUAAAUCUAAUCAAGAAGUUUUUGACUACUCCAAAAAGUGGUGGCUCCUAACAUGGUGUACACACCACUACACACUGUUAGGAGUGUCUUUCCAGGACAGAAAUUAUUGUAGAUAGUAAGAUUCAGAGCUGCAUAGGAUUGAUGAGGACUUUCCUCUUCUAGUAGCUUGCACAUCACCUUCCCGUUCUAUGAAAACUAUCUAGUAACGAUGAAGCUUCCAGGUCAGUACCAUAUUGAUUUUUUUUCAAGUUUUAUGAUGUAAGUGUAAUAUUUUCAGCAAUAUAAUAUCAGCAAUAGGGUCUCACUAUCAAGUUCUGAACAGUAACCAAUAGUAUUGGUAUAAGCAAUAUACUUUAUGUUGCUUUUCUAUUGCUAUGAUAAGACCAUGACCAAGGCUCCUUAUGGAAGAAAGACUUCUUUGUGCCUCACAGUUGCAGAAGGCUCAUGGACUUUGUUUUGGGGAGCAUAGCCUCAAGCAGGCAGGCAUGGUGCUGGAACAAUAAUUGAGACCUUACUUCUUGAUCCACAAGCAUGGGGCAGAGAGAGGCACUGGGGAUGGUAUAGGAUUUUUGACAUGUCAACCCCUUCCCUUAGGGAUACACCACCUCCAACAAGGUCACUCCUCUAAUUCUCCCCAAGCAAUUCUACCAGCUGCAGACCAAUUAUUCAAAUAUAUGAGUUUAUGAGGAUCAUUAUCAUUCAAAAUGCCACAAUUGAUAACAGUCUAAAGGGUUGAGGGUCUUUGGGACUCUACUAACCAACACUCUCUAAAGAGGAAACUCUUGGCACUAGAAUGUGUAUUCAUUAUUUCCUAAUGUCUAAUAUUGCCAUCCAUGUCCAGUUACAAGGUAAUUCCCUUUUAAGAAUCAUCAGCUGUUCAUUCUAGUUUUCUCUUGCUCUAUGGUUCAGUCAUAUGCAUUUGGUACCUGUCUACAGUCAAUGUCAGUUGCCUUUAUAUUUAAGGUGUGUGUGUAUUUCUUCGGAGUGUAUUUUGAUCUAAACUGUUUUUUGAUCAUCUUUCUUUACUGUGACUGCUGAUGCAGUCAGGUUUAAAGCUACUGCCUUCCUGUUUGUUCCACAGUGUCUAAUACUUGUUCUUUUCCCCCUUUCUCUUCUUGUAUGCCUUCCUUUGAAUUGAUUAAAUAUGAUUCAUUUCUUUUCUCUUAUA